UGAGGAAUAUUGGGCAAUGCCCGCAAGGGUGACCCAGCAACGCCGCGUGGAGGAUGAAUGUCGUAAGAUUGUAAACUCCUGUUAGAGGGGAAGAAUAGUACCGGUUGGACCGGUAUAUGACUGUACCCUCAGAGCAAGCCCCGGCUAACUACGUGCCAGCAGCCGCGGUAAUACGUAGGGGGCAAGCGUUGUCCGGAUUUACUGGGUGUCAAGGGCGCGCAGGCGGGAUAAAAAGUCAGUGGUUAAAUCCUACAGCUUAACUGUAGAACUACCUUUGAUACUUUGAUUCUUGAGUUCGGGAGAGAGAGACGGAAUUCCAGGUGUAGUGGUGAAAUACGUAGAUAUCUGGAAGAACACCAGUUGCGAAGGCGGUCUCUUGGUCCGACACUGACGCUGAGGCGCGAAAGCGUGGGGAGCAAACA
rnacentral:rRNA from 1 species